UGGGGAAUUUUGGACAAUGGGCGAAAGCCUGAUCCAGCAAUGCCGCGUGUGUGAAGAAGGCCUUCGGGUUGUAAAGCACUUUUGUCCGGAAAGAAAUCCUUGGCUCUAAUACAGUCGGGGGAUGACGGUACCGGAAGAAUAAGCACCGGCUAACUACGUGCCAGCAGCCGCGGUAAUACGUAGGGUGCAAGCGUUAAUCGGAAUUACUGGGCGUAAAGCGUGCGCAGGCGGUUUGCUAAGACCGAUGUGAAAUCCCCGGGCUCAACCUGGGAACUGCAUUGGUGACUGGCAGGCUAGAGUAUGGCAGAGGGGGGUAGAAUUCCACGUGUAGCAGUGAAAUGCGUAGAGAUGUGGAGGAAUACCGAUGGCGAAGGCAGCCCCCUGGGCCAAUACUGACGCUCAUGCACGAAAGCGUGGGGAGCAAACAGGAUUAGAUACCCUGGUAGUCCACGCCCUAAAACGAUGUCAACUAGUUGUUGGGGAUUCAUUUCCUUAGUAACGUAGCUAACGCGUGAAGUUGACCGCCUGGGGGAGUACGGGUC
rnacentral:rRNA from 1 species